CUUUGUACCCUACACCAGCACUUUAAAAAGUUGGAUUCAUUGCUGGAUAUAAGCAAUGAAUAUAGAUCUAAACAAAAGAAGACAAUUAGACUGUCUCUGAGGCAACGCGGGAGCUGGAUGAAUGGGUUCACAGCUGCUUUUGAACAUAUCGCGGUUACAGAGGGCUAGAAGGGCCCCUCACACAUCUCACAUGCAACUUCAUCAUUAAGAUGAGGAACUGGUCCCAGCUGUUUACUGGGUAUUCAGCUAUGCAGUUGUAGACAUAAUGUGACUCGUUGCCUCAAGUUCUUUCUGCUCUGACUUUUUCCACAGUGAUGGACUGUAAUCUUGAGCUGUGAACUGAAAUCCUUUCCCACUUCUUCAGAGGAACCAACUGUGGCUACCACAUCUUAGCGAAGAGGAAACUGGGACACUUCUAACAGCAUCUAUCUCCUUGGACCAGGUACAUAGGAAAGGCACAGUCUUCAAAGACCCUGAAUCCUGCAUCAUAGCCCUGGGGCAGGACCCAGAACCAGCAUCACGAGGUGCAUCCAAUAGAUCCUGCACGAAGCCCGCUGGGGUGAAUCAGUCUCACAGACUGAGCUGCAGCGUUCUUGAGGGUUGGCGAGAGGCAGAG